rnacentral:rRNA from 1 species
CAGCCGCCGCGGUAAUACGGAGGGUGCAAGCGUUAUCCGGAUUCACUGGGUUUAAAGGGUGCGUAGGUGGGUUGGUAAGUCAGUGGUGAAAUCCCCGAGCUUAACUUGGGAACUGCCAUUGAUACUAUCAGUCUUGAAUACCGUGGAGGUUAGCGGAAUAUGUCAUGUAGCGGUGAAAUGCUUAGAUAUGACAUAGAACACCAAUUGCGAUGGCAGCUGGCUACACGAAUAUUGACACUGAGGCACGAAAGCGUGGGGAUCAAACAGGAUUAGAUACCCUGGUAGUCCACGCCCUAAACUAUGGAUACUCGACAUUUGCGAUACACUGCAAGUGUCUGAGCGAAAGCACUAAGUAUCCCACCUGGGAAGUACGAUCGCAAGAUUGAAACUCAAAGGAAUUGACGG